rnacentral:rRNA from 1 species
CCUUCGGACAGAGGAGACAGGUGGUGCAUGGUGUCGUCAGCUCGUGUCGUGAGAUGUUGGGUUAAGUCCCGCAACGAGCGCAACCCUUGAUCUUAGUUGCCAGCACUUCGGGUGGGCACUCUAAGGUGACUGCCGGUGACAAACCGGAGGAAGGUGGGGAUGACGUCAAAUCAUCAUGCCCCUUAUGACCUGGGCUACACACGUACUACAAUGGCCGGUACAACGGGCCGCGAAGCCGCGAGGUGGAGCUAAUCCUAAAAAGCCGGUCUCAGUUCGGAUUGCAGGCUGCAACUCGCCUGCAUGAAGUCGGAAUUGCUAGUAAUCGCGGAUCAGCAUGCCGCGGUGAAUACGUUCCCGGGUCUUGUACACACCGCCCGUCACACCACGAGAGUUUACAACACCCGAAGUCGGUGGGGUAACCGCAAGGAGCCAGCCGCCGAAGGUGGGGUAGAUGAUUGGGGUGAAGUCGUAACAAGGUAGCCGUAUCGGAAGGUGCGGCUGGAUCACCUCCUU